rnacentral:rRNA from 1 species
UACGGGGGGGGGCAAGCGUUGUUCGGAAUUACUGGGCGUAAAGGGCUCGUAGGCGGCCACUUAAGUCAGGGGUGAAAUCCCAAGGCUCAACCUUGGAACUGCCUUUGAUACUGGGGAUCUCGAGUCCGGAAGAGGUUGGUGGAACUCUCGGUGUAGAGGUGAAAUUCGUAGAUAUCGAGAAGAACACCGGUGGCGAAGGCGGCCAUCUGGACGGUGACUGACGCUGAGACGCGAAAGCGUGGGGAGCAAACAGG